rnacentral:tRNA from 1 species
GGCCCCAUCGUCUAGCGGCUAGGACGGUGCCCUCUCACGGCACAAACCCGGGUUCGAUUCCCGGUGGGGUCA